UCAGGAACGUUUCCCGCAAAAAUAAGGAAUAGGACUGUGCUCCUCCCAAAAGACAAAAGCAAGACAAUGCAGACAAUAAAAAUCCAGCACCAACAAUGAAUAGCCGGAGUAAACAAAACAAGCAGACCAAAUCGUGUCGGCCCUCGAGGAAGGGUUGCAGUGUCGAGGAGCAGUAGGCAUGUAAAUCUGACUGCAAUUCAUGUCACGGUGGAUGGUUUGAGAGGAGGGAGGCAGAGCAGAGACAAACGGCGCAUUCCGUCAUGCAUGGUGCGUAGACAGGACUGAUGUUGCUCAAAUGCGAGCAUAUGUGCCCGUGUUGAAGGAGUUUUGCCCUCUGUCUAUGACUCAAGUGUCAAUGAUGCCUCUCCAUAUUAUCGCUACCAUGUCUUAUUUGUUUUGGUUGCUCAGCAAAUGUUUUGCUG